rnacentral:misc_RNA from 1 species
UUAAGUUCAGCGGGUAGUCCCACCCGAUCUGAGGUCAAAUUGUCAAGAUUUGUCUUGUCAAAGACGGUUGGUAGCGUCACCACACCCCAACGAUGCUCUUCAAAAGGCGUUAACCCUCCAAAGACACUCCAGUGAAGAUGCUUAUCACACCGGAUGACACCGACAAAAGGGGGUCACACUCCUGCAUUUAAGACGAGCCG